GAUGCAGAAUUCAGUGAAUCAUCGAAUCUUUGAACGCACCUUGCGCCCUUUGGCUAUUCCGAAGGGCAUGCCUGUUUUGA
rnacentral:rRNA from 1 species